rnacentral:ncRNA from 2 species
GUGCGUCUUCAGGGCGGGGUGCAAUUCCCCACCGGCGGUAUGCCGGCCGGGCCGAAAGGCCAGCCGGUGAGCCCGCGAGCGCCUGUGCGUGAGUCGCUGCAAGCUGUUUUCGUCUCGCGCGCAGGGUCAGCAGAUCUGGUGCGAAGCCAGAGCCGACGGUCAUAGUCCGGAUGAGAGAAGAUGUGC